rnacentral:rRNA from 1 species
ACGCUCGACACCUACGGGAGGCAGCAGUGGGGAAUAUUGCACAAUGGGGGAAACCCUGAUGCAGCGACGCCGCGUGAAGGAUGAAGUAUUUCGGUAUGUAAACUUCUAUCAGCAGGGAAGAAAGUGACGGUACCUGACUAAGAAGCCCCGGCUAACUACGUGCAAGCAGCCGCGGUAAUCUGAGCGGGCUGGCAAGGC